rnacentral:lncRNA from 10 species
UGGACGUGGGAUUUUCCCAUGCUGUUCUCAUGAUAAUGAAUAAGUCUCAUGAGAUCUGACUGUUCUAUAAAAGGGCAGUUCCCCUGCACACACCUUCUUGCCUGCUGCCACAAAGACGUGUCUUGCUUCCCCUUCGCCAUCUGCCUUGAUUGUGAGGCCUCCCCAGCCACGUGGAACAACUUUGCUGCUCUAUUGCCAAACUACUCAUAUCCCCCUGUUACUGUGAAACUUGGUGAAAUUCCUCAGGGAUUUUGAGACAUCAAAGCAGUCUUCAGCUCCCGGACAUAGAAGAGCAAGACAUGUAUGGAAAAAUGCUAUCGUGGGAGGAGACAAGGGUAUGAUUCAAGUGCUGGGAUGUUGUUAAAGAAAAAAGACACGAUAGUGAUCUGAAAGAAAAGGGUCAGACAAAGAAGACUGAUGAUAAGCAAUAAUUUAAUUCACCUAAAGCUCAGACAAGCCAUGAAUAGAUCUAUCAAAAUCAAAUCAGUAACUGACAUUUGUACAAAACAUGCAAUUAAUCCAAAGGUUUAUAGCCUUUCAAGAUAAAUAACUGUCAUGACGGAAUCCAUCCUUUACUGAAGGAGUGUUUCAUCUGAAAGACACAGAGGCUUUUACAGCAUUGCUGAAAGUUCAGCAGAAAAUACAGCAGAAUUUUCAGCUUUGUUGUAAAAGGUAACACAGUAUCAAUGACUGGUUUCCAAGAAGUGUGUCAAUUUUUUUUUAUUACUUUCAUGUAAACUAUAAGUUGAAUACCAUUGAUUUAUUAGGUAAAAAUGCUGUCAUGUAAAUUACAAUAAUAAACACAACCUAUCAACAUAAAAGCAAUGCCAGUAUUUCUUCUCCAAAUAUCUUCAUUUGUUUCAAAAAGUCAUUCACAUAAAAUGGGCAUGUUGGCUCAUAUUGAGUAUAUUUUUCUUAGAAAAUACAAUAAUGGUAUUCUAAUGAACAAAUU